rnacentral:lncRNA from 1 species
UUUUGAGGUCAGUGUGCACAUAGCCUGCCUGUCUUCUCUUGAGAGCCAGGUCUGCCUACGGUGGCCUUUCUCAAUAGCAAGGCUAUGCGCACUGAGUCUGUACAUAGUCAAAGCUUUCCUUAGUUUGUGUCAGUCACAGUGGUCAGGUAUUCUGCCACUGUGUACUCUCUGUUUAGGGCCAAAUAGCAUUCUAGUUUGCUCUGUUUUUAUAAUUAUUUCCAUUCUCUCUCUCUCUCUCUCUCUCUUUCUCCACUCUCUCUCUCCACUCUCUCUCUCUCCACUCUCUCCCUCUACUCUCUCUCUCCACUCUCUCUCUCUCCACUCUCUCUCUCUCUACUCACUCUCCUCUCUCUCUCCUCUCUCUCCACUCUUUCUUCACUAUCUCUCUACCACUGUCAGAUAUUAUAAGCAUGUAAGUUUCCAGACACUUAUUUAAAUGUUCUUAUCAAUGCAGCUGAUGAUGUAGAGAGUGACGGUUAGAGGAAGUGCAAGCAAAUUUAAACGGUCUCUUUGCAGUUAGCAAAUAAUGUGUGUGUGUGUGUGUGUGUGUGUGUGUGUGUGUGUGUGUGUGUGUGUGUGUGUGUGGUGGGUGGGUGUUGGACAUUAAGCUGUCACGUGUGUACGAGAUAUGCCACCCAGGUGUGAAUUGCAUUUCCUUUCCCCAAGGAGAGGGCUAGCUCUACUAUUUUAUUAUUAUUAUUGGGUAAGUACCUGCCAGGUUGUUUUAGGACAAAAACGCCCUCCUCCAGGCUAGAUGGACGUCAUGGCUACAAUAUGUGUCUCACAUUUUAUUGUCUCGAAUAUAUAGUUACACACAAGGUUGUUUUUAUUGAUCUCAGUUUGUCAGAUCAGCCUGCCAUGUUGUGGUAUUAUAAUCAGUGUCUGUAGGUGUCUCUGUGUCUCUGUGUCUCUGUGUCUCUGUGUGCCUCUGUGUCGGUGUCUGUGUGUAUGGCUGUGUGUGUGUGUUGCUGUCUCUGUGUGUCUGUGGGUGUCUCUGUGUGUCUGUGUCUCUGUGUGUGUGUGUCUCUGUGUCUCUGUGUCUCUGUGUCUCUGUAUCUCUGUGUCUCUGUGUCUCUGUGUCUCUGUGUCUCUGUGUGUCUGUGUCUCUGUGUCUCUGUGUCUCUGUGUGUCUGUGUCUCUCUGUGUGUGUGUGAAGGUGUCUCUGUCUCUCUGUGUCUCUGUGUGUCUGUGUCUCUGUGUGUGUGUCUGUAGGUGUGCAUGUGUCUCGGUGUGUCUGUGGGCGUCUCUGCGUCUCUAUGUGUCUGUAGGUGUCUCUGCGUCUCUGUGUGUCUGUAGGUGUCUCUGUGUGUUUGUGUCUCUGCGUCUCUGUGUGUCUGUAGGUGUCUCUGUGUCUCUGUGUGUCUGUGUGUCUCUGUGUGUCUGUGUCUGUAGGUGUCUCUGUGUGUAUGUGUGUCUCUGUGUGUCUGUGUCUCUCUGUGUCUGUAAGUGUCUCUGUGUCUGUGGGUGUCCCUGUGUCUGUGGGUGUCUCUGUGUCUCUGUGUCUAUGUGUGUCUGUAGGUGUCUGUGUGUGUGUCUGUAGGUGUCUGUGUGUGUGUCUGUAGGUGUCUGUGUGUGUGUCUGUAGGUGUCUCUAUGUGUGUCUGUAGGUGUCUCUAUGUGUGUCUGUGGGUGUCUCUGUGUGUCUGUAGGUGUCUGUGUGUGUGUCUAUAGGUGUCUCUCUGUGUGUCUGUAGGUGUCUGUGUUUGUGUCUGUAGGUGUCUCUCUGUGUGUCUGUAGGUGUCUCUCUGUGUGUCUGUAGGUGUCUGUGUGUGUGUCUGUAGGUGUCUGUGUGUGUGUCUGUAGGUGUCUGUGUGUAUGGCUGUGUGUGUGUCUGUAUGUCUGCAGGUGUCUGUGUGUACGGCUGUGUGUGUGUCUGUGUGUAUGGCUGUGUGUGUGUCUGUAGGUGUCUCUGUGUCUCUGUGUCUCUGUGUCUCUGUGUGUCUGUGUGUCUGUGUCUCUCUGUGUGUGUGUGAAGGUGUCUCUGUCUCUCUGUGUCUCUGUGUGUCUGUGUCUCUGUGUGUGUGUCUGUAGGUGUGCAUGUGUCUCGGUGUGUCUGUGGGCGUCUCUGUGUCUCUGCGUCUCUAUGUGUCUGUAGGUGUCUCUGCGUCUCUGCGUGUCUGUAGGUGUCUCUGUGUGUUUGUGUCUCUGCGUCUCUGUGUGUCUGUAGGUGUCUCUGUGUGUCUGUGUGUCUCUGUGUGUCUGUGUCUGUAGGUGUCUCUGUGUGUAUGUGUGUCUCUGUGUGUCUGUGUCUCUCUGUGUCUGUAGGUGUCUCUGUGUCUGUGGGUGUCCCUGUGUCUGUAGGUGUCUCUGUGUCUCUGUGUGUCUCUGUGUCUCUGUGUCUAUGUGUGUCUGUAGGUGUCUGUGUGUGUGUCUGUAGGUGUCUGUGUGUGUGUCUGUAGGUGUCUGUGUGUGUGUCUGUAGGUGUCUCUCUGUGUGUCUGUAGGUGUCUCUCUGUGUGUCUGUAGGUGUCUGUGUGUGUGUCUGUAGGUGUCUGUGUGUGUGUCUGUAGGUGUCUGUGUGUAUGGCUGUGUGUGUGUCUGUGUGUCUGUGUGUAUGGCUGUGUGUGUGUCUGUGUGUAUGGCUGUGUGUGUGUCUGUGUGUCUGUAGGUGUCUGUGUGUGUCUCUGUGUGUGUCUGUGUGUAUGGCUGUGUGUGUGUCUGUGUGUCUGUAGGUGUCUGUGUGUGUCUCUGUGUGUGUCUGUGUGUAUGGCUGUGUGUGUGUCUGUGUGUCUGUAGGUGUCUGUGUGUGUGUCUGUGUGUGUCUGUGUGUCUGUAGGUGUCUCUAUGUGUGUCUGUAGGUGUCUGUGUGUGUGUCUGUGUGUGUGUCUGUAGGUGUCUCUAUGUGUGUCUGUGGGUGUCUCUGUGUGUCUGUAGGUGUCUGUGUGUGUGUCUGUAGGUGUCUCUCUGUGUGUCUGUAGGUGUCUGUGUGUGUGUCUGUAGGUGUCUGUGUGUGUGUCUGUAGGUGUCUGUGUGUGUGUCUGUAGGUGUCUGUGUGUAUGGCUGUGUGUGUGUCUGUGUGUCUGUAGGUGUCUGUGUGUGUCUCUGUGUGUGUCUGUGUGUAUGGCUGUGUGUGUGUCUGUAGGUGUCUGUGUGUGUCUCUGUGUGUGUCUGUGUGUAUGGCUGUGUGUGUGUCUGUGUGUCUGUAGGUGUCUGUGUGUGUCUCUGUGUGUGUCUGUGUGUGUCUGUGUGUCUGUAGGUGUCUCUAUGUGUGUCUGUAGGUGUCUGCGUGUGUGUCUGUAGGUGGCUGUGUGUGUGUGUUGGUGUCUCUGUUAGAGGUCAACCGAUUAAUUAGGGCCGAUUUCAAGUUUUCAUAACAAUCGGUAAAUCUUUUUUUUUUUUUUACACCUCUAUU